rnacentral:lncRNA from 1 species
UGUUUUGCAAUGUCAGCUGUACAUUUGGCUUCCUGAAUUUGUAUUUGCAUCUGGUGUGGAAGAAUUCACAGUGACCAGAGCUGUGCUGUAGUGGUGGAUUUGAGUGUACAAGAAAGUUUUCUCCUUUAGCCUGAAGCCCUCUUGUAAAGGACUCUCUGCAUUCACUCAGGAUGAGAGAUAUCUUGGUGGUCUCUUCUGUGUGCAGGAGCUGUGUGAGAGAUGAGCAGUGCAAAACAUUGCCUUGGCAUGAAGGAGGAAGCCAAACUCAAAAGACAUCAACAACAACAAAAAACCUGAGCAGUGAACCUAGAAUGUGUUAGAUCAAUGCAGACACCAUGAAAAAUAACCAGGACAUGCCUUUGUGGCUUUUGAUGUAGCUAUGUCUGUGGCUGAAACUAACAGAUGCAAAAGCUAACUGCCAGAUAUCCAAUGUGUGUGCC